rnacentral:rRNA from 1 species
GACGAACGCUGGCGGCGUGCCUAACACAUGCAAGUCGAGCGGGGACUUAAUCAUGAAGUUUUCGGAUGGAUUGGUUAAGUUCUAGCGGCGGACGGGUGAGUAACGCGUGAGCAACCUGCCUAUCACUGGGGAAUAACGCAUCGAAAGGUGUGCUAAUACCGCAUGAGACCACAGUAUCGCAUGGUACAGGGGUCAAAGAUUUAUUGGUGAUAGAUGGGCUCGCGUCUGAUUAGCUGGUUGGUGAGGUAACGGCCCACCAAGGCGACGAUCAGUAGCCGACCUGAGAGGGUGAUCGGCCACAUUGGAACUGAGAAACGGUCCAAACUCCUACGGGAGGCAGCAGUGGGGAAUAUUGGGCAAUGGGGGAAACCCUGACCCAGCAACGCCGCGUGAAGGAAGAAGGUCUUCGGGUCGUAAACUUCUAUCCUUGGUGAAGAUAAUGACGGUAGCCAAGGAGGAAGCCCCGGCUAACUACGUGCCAGCAGCCGCCGCUGUAA